GACAAACGGGUCGAGUUAAAAUUAAUAUAGUAAAAAAGGAGGUUAUGAUUUUUUUAGGAGAAUAAUGUUUUUUAGGGAGGUGGAAUUUAUAUAAAAAGAAGUAAUUUAGGUUUUUCGUUUUUUGAGGCCUCGAAAUUUUGUUAUGAGACCGGGAUUAGAUACCCCGUUAUUCAAAAUGUAAACUUUGAUUGUAUCUAUAAUUUACUUGAGUAUUACGAGUAUAAGAAGUUUAAUUAUUAUAUUGCUUAAAACUCAAAAAACUUGGCGGUGCCUUAUAUCCUUCCAGGGGAACCUGUCCUGUAAUCGAUAGUCCACGUUUUAGCUUUCUUCCUUUUGAAUAUAAUCAGUUUGUAUACCGUCGUCGUCGGGUUACCUUUAAGGGUUAUGAAGUUAUCGGCAGGAAAAAAUAGGUAAAUAGUUUGUAGUUUGUUUAAGAGUACACUAGGAGUUUAAUAGUUCUAGACGUCAGAUCAAGGUGCAGCUUAUAAGGAAGUAGAGAUGGGUUACAAUAAUAAUUUAUUAAAUACGAAUUUUUGUUGUAAGUAGCAGAAUUGAAGGAGGACUUGGAAGUAAUUGGUUUAAAAAUAAGAGAGUUUAAAUGAAAACAGGCUCUGGGGUGCGC
rnacentral:rRNA from 1 species